ensembl:lncRNA
AAAACAUGUCCAAAUCAACUUCAUAACCGUCUCAGUCCUCAUUUUAUAAAACACAACAUUUUCUUGACGCUACCAGCAGCAUCACUUCUGUCAGCCACUAGCCUCGUAAAAUGAACGAAUCCAUAAUCACCCCUCUACGGGAAGGAGGUCGAUUUCAAUGACUAUCUAAUAAAGGAAUAAAUUCAGCGUUAAAAAAAAAUCAGAAUCCCUAAGAACCCUAGAGGCAAAUGCCAAAGGAAAUCUGAUCUGAUGAAAGCAGGUUUUUUUUUUUUUUUUAUAAGGGAGGCUUUAUUUUCUUUUUUCCCAAAGACAAAACUGCAUUUUAAAAAUGGUCGUUUGGUUUAUCGACGAAUCUCUAUUUAAGGAACUGAAUACAGAACUGAUUAUACAGCUGGGAAAACUUCUCCACUGCAACGCACUCUGAAAUGGUCUGAUUUGGUGGAAAGCUUGAAUCAGGCCGAAGCGGAUGGUUUUGCAACUCUGACGUGCUUAAUUACUUUCAACGCAGAGCCAGCCAGGAACUCAUUCUUUUACCUGCGGAGUCCGGGAGAACGCACCCCACAGCUGAUGAAGAUGGUUUGUAAUGAGCGGCUCAUCUGCGCACUAUGUAACCUGGGAGACCGCCAGUGCUAUGAGUCGAGUUCUCUGAAUGCUGCCUACAAUGCCACUGUCCAACAGUUGAGAAGGGCUGCGCUCCUCCUAUCCAAUUGGCUGCUUCUCCUCCGAGCACUGCUCAGGGAUGCUGGGGCUUCCCAGCCCCUCUCUCUCACCACACUGCCUUUGGUAAGAGCACCCAGUUGCAGGCUGCGCGGACCACUGCCCAGCCAGGAGCUUUACCCCCGGGCCCCGGCGUCUGGAUGUCUGUUAGGCCUCACCUGCCUUCCUGCCAUCACCCCUUCUCUCUUUUAAGCCAUGAGCAGCACUGGCCACCCACUCCCCAGCCUGAAACCUGGGAGCCCCCUCCGGGCGCCCUGCUGCCUCUCAGCUCAGCAUCCCGGCCACCCGGAGCUGCCUGCGUUGGUUCUCAUGUCUCUCUCCAUUUCAGCCCAAGGCACUGCCUCCCUGGGGAUGGCUCCCUCCUCUCCACCCCCACUACUUCCCUUGUCCCGCAGGAUGCAGCCAAAGGAAUGUUUCUAGAACACACACAGCCUGUCACAGCACCUGCACCAGGCUUGCAGGCCUGAGGCCAGGGCCAGGGGAAGAACCCGUGAUCACCUGUGAUCACCUGUGAUCACCCCCUGUGGCCCGGCAGUGUCAGAAAUGAGCUGACAAACAGCAAGCCGAACUCGAGCAAAACUCAAACAACCCUGGCCUUGCAUUCUGGCACAGUCACUUCUUAGCUGCGCCGUUCCUGGCAGUGUUGAAAGCCUCUUGGGAGCCCCAUUGCUCUGAAAGGGGGGUAAUAUGCGAUUCCUUCCUGAAAAACUUGUCUGUAAGUAAAAUGAAGCAGUGUGGUAUAGCAGGAAGUGCAAGCUGGGUCCUUCAUUUAAAUUUUGUUUUUCUGAAAUUAAUUAUUUUAUUUCAAAUAGAGCAAGAGAGAGAUGGUCCAUCCACUGGUUCACCCCCCAAAUGCCUACCAUGGCUGGGACUGCGCCAGGCUGAAGUCAGGAUCCAGGAACUCGAUCUAAGAGUCCCACAUACGUGACAGGGCCCAACUACUUGAGCCACUAUCUGCUGCCGCACGAAGUGUAUCCUGGGGAAGCUGGAAUUGGGAGCAGAGCCAGGGCUCAAACGCACACCCAGGCACUCGAGCAUGGAGUGUGGGAAGCUGAACCAUUCUCCCUCCCUGUCCUACUCUUUGGAACGAAAUUUUGUAGCUCUCAGAAGCGCUUCUUGGAUGAAACACUCGCU